UGGGUGACCUGCCCUCAGCUCUGGGAUAAGCCUGGGAAACUGGGUCUAAUACUGGAUAUUCACUUCUCAUCGCAUGGUGGGUGGUGGAAAGUUUUUUCGGCUGGGGAUGGGCCCGCGGCCUAUCAGCUUGUUGGUGGGGUGAUGGCCCACCAAGGCGACGACGGGUAGCCGGCCUGAGAGGGUGACCGGCCACACUGGGACUGAGACACGGCCCAGACUCCUACGGGAG
rnacentral:rRNA from 1 species